rnacentral:miRNA from 1 species
GCUCAACAGUGUUACCUCCAGCGU